rnacentral:tRNA from 1 species
GCCGACAUAGUAUAGUGGUAAUACGCAUCCAUGGUAAGGAUGAAUCCCGUGUUCAAUUCCCGGUGUCGGCACCA